GACGAACGCUGGCGGCGUGCUUAACACAUGCAAGUCGAACGGACAGGCCCUGCUUUUGUGGGGUGCUCGAGUGGCGAACGGGUGAGUAACACGUGAGUAACCUGCACUUGACUUUGGGAUAACUUCAGGAAACUGGGGCUCAUACCGGAUAGGAGCUCUUGCUGCAUGGGGGGGGUUGGAAAGUUUCGGCGGUUGGGGCUGGACUCGCGGCUUAUCCGCUUGAUGGUGGGGUAGUGGCUUACCAAGGCAUUGAGGGGUAGCCGGCCUGAGAGGGGGACCGGCCACAUGGGGACUGCGGUACGGCCCAGACGGCAACGGGAGGCAGCAGGCGGGAAUAUUGCACAAUGGGCGGAAGCCUGAUGCAGCAACGCCGCGUGCGGGAUGACGGCCUUCGAGUUGUAAACCGCUGUCGCCUUUGACGAAGCGGGAGUGACGGUAAUGGGUAAGGGAGCACCGGCUAACUACGUG
rnacentral:rRNA from 1 species